rnacentral:rRNA from 1 species
GACGAACGCUGGCGGCGUGCUUAACACAUGCAAGUCGAACGGAAAGGCCCUGCUUUUGUGGGGUGCUCGAGUGGCGAACGGGUGAGUAACACGUGAGUAACCUGCCCUUGACUUUGGGAUAACUUCAGGAAACUGGGGCUAAUACCGGAUAGGAGCUCCUGCUGCAUGGUGGGGGUUGGAAAGUUUCGGCGGUUGGGGAUGGACUCGCGGCUUAUCAGCUUGUUUGUGGGGUAGUGGCUUACCAAGGCUUUGACGGGUAGCCGGCCUGGGAGGGUGACCGGCCACAUUGGGACUGAGAUACGGACCAGACUGCUACGGGAGGCAGCAGUGGGGAAUAUUGCACAAUGGGCGGAAGCCUGAUGCAGCAACGCCGCGUGCGGGAUGACGGCCUUCGGGUUGUAAACCGCUUUCGCCUGUGACGAAGAGUGAGUGACGGUAAUGGGUAAAGAAGCACCGGCUAACUACGUG